GACGGAGGGUCCUAGCGUUGUUCGGAAUUACUGGGCGUAAAGGGCGCGUAGGCGGCUGGCCGAGUUGGAUGUGAAAGCCCGGGGCUCAACCUCGGAACGGCAUCCAAGACUGGCUGGCUGGAGACCGGGAGAGGAGGGUGGAAUACCCAGUGUAGAGGUGAAAUUCGUAGAUAUUGGGUGGAACACCGGUGGCGAAAGCGGCUCUCUGGCCCGGUUCUGACGCUGAGGCGCGAAAGCGUGGGGAGCAAACAGG
rnacentral:rRNA from 1 species